rfam:Prevotella sp. CAG:386 genomic scaffold, scf39
CCCCUGAAUGUAAUUGAGGGGAUGACUCUUGCCAAAAUGGUGAGGGCCGGAGCAUGGUCAGCUUCGGGAAAGUAUUAAUUAGGAUGCAGAGACCACAUCCUGAAAGC